GAUGAACUGAAUGUUUCAUCUCAAGCAUGGCUGGGUUACCCUGUCAGGUGGCCCCAAUAAAAAUAUUACCUGCUGUGCACCUAUAGUGGUAAUUUGAUAAAUGAUAAUUUGAUAAAUGACCAUUCUAAUUAGUACGAUGUCCAAUGUGAGCACAGGUCUCUUCUAAAGGACAGUGCCACAAAAUUAGGCAAUACUGCAGGGCCCUGGGUAGUUGAUGUGUUAAAUGAGAGAUUCAAGUUCUUGUACAUUAGAAGAAAGCCCCUUUUUGGAGCCCUUGGUGGUCUGUGGCUCCUAGGCAGCGGCCCGCUUUCCCCAGCUUUGGUCUUGUGAUAACAUCAUCUUGAGUCAGGUCAUCAGAAAUCAGGAGAACUCAUUAUUCGUCACUGUGUGAUCUUCUACUGCAGUGGCUUUCAAACUGUGAGACUGGCCCUUCUGGGGGAGCAAAGAGUCACAGGAGGGGGGACAAGGGAAAAAUACAGAGUGGAACUAUGACUAAUGAACCAAAUGGUUUCACUAAAGAACCUUCACACAAUGGUGGCUGUCUUGAAAAAAAAGAUGAAGACAAAGAUGCUGACAUUGAGGAUCCAGACAAAUGAAAGAGCCCCAGUUCUCUUUAUUUAUUACCUUCACAAUAUGUGUGAGCGUGUGUGUGUGUGCGUGUGUGUGUGUGUGUGUGUGUGUGUGUGUGUGUGUGUGUGUGUGUGUGUGUGUGUGUGUGUGUGUGUGUGUGUGUGUGUGUGUGUGUGUGUGUCUGUGUGUGUGUGUGUGUGUGUGCGCACAUGACAGAGAGUGAGCAUUGAGCAUGUGUGUAUUAUGAACGGUACCUAAGAUUUCAGGCUAUCAUUUGCAAAUUUUGUUUACUUUUUAUAAGGUUCCAAUAACUCCUAUAUCAUUGUCACAGUAUAAACAAAAGGACUUUACUAUUGGUACAUAUGGUGUUUUGUGUUUGUAACUAGCCUCCUAUUUAAGAAUGUAUAUUUGUAUGUAUGAUAUACUCAUCUAGAAACUAUAUAAUGGACAGUUUUAAUAUUGCUUCACCUUCUCACCACUAUACUGCUUUUGCCAAGACACAACACUCAGCAAACACAAAGGAGACACGCACAUGAGCAAAAACACAUCUAUAAAACAGAAAAAGAUCAAAGAAGACAAUGAAUCCUAAAGAGUCAGUUUUCCAUCUUUUUCUAAACAGGUUGAAGUCUGAUUUGUGCAACUGUAGACAAUAAUAAAAAUAAUCAUUUUAAUAAUAAUGAUGAUGGAGGGCUUUCAGGUGAUGUAACACAUCCUCUGGCAGCCAUAUUGGAGGUCCUCAGUUCUUUAAUGCCUGAGAGCAGCUGUUGUUUUAAAUGUACAACUCAGCUGACUCAGCAGUCUCAGCAUGUUUACUUUGCAUCUGCUUUAAAGGUUGAACUUCUUACUAAAUGACUGGUAUAUGUGUUAACUGUUGUAAUUGUCAGGCAACUGUUGCCAUUUUGGCAUCAACAAAUCUCAUGUAAACACUGCGGCACAUAUCUUGUAGGUAGCAGUAAAUAGCAGCUAGUAGUUGUAUAUGAACAUAUUGAUCUUUAUCCGAUAUUCUUCUUUCCCUCCUAAUUUGCCAGCUGAAGAGGGUUGAACACAUGUAAACACGUUUCUUUUACAGCCUUAUUUUGGAAGUUCUGAUCAUCAUUCCCAUCCAUUAUCUGAGCAUUUUAACAAAUGUUGUAAUUAACUGACUGUACUGUAAAACUGUGUGCAGUCACAUGAAAGGUCAAAGGAAUAAGUAGCUUACAGUGGACAUUUUGUUCAACUUUGGGCUUGAUUGAAGUGUAGGUCUGCACCAUGUAUUACUGAGAGUAGGGAGGUGUUCACAUCAAUGACGUACACUUUUUAUGAUUGUCCUUUGCAGUGCUGAAACUAAAAUUGCAUCCAAAUGGUCUUUCCCUCAUUGAAAACCAUUUCAAAAUUUGUAAAACGACAGUUCUGUUUUCUUGAAAUGUGGUUAAAAUUAGCACCACAUUUGGAUGGAAACUUGCAAAAGCUAUUUUUAUUUGUGACAUUAUCACAGCUCAAGGAAAGGUACACUAAUGUGCAUAUGUGCAGGGCCACAAAGUGCAUAAAAACAGAAAGCAUUUUGUCACAUUCACCGGGUUAGCAAUUGGUAUCCACUUCACUGCAACACAUCCACUGGCUAAUUGUGCAUACAUUUGCCAUCAUUUUCACUUCAAAAUUAUAAUGUAGUUUAUACCUGGAUUGAAUUAUUGGUACUCUAGUAUAGUGGUGGUUAUUCUGGAUAUAUAUAUAUAUAUAUAUAUAUAUAUAUAUAUAUAUGGCAUCAAAAUUACAGUUAAUCAAAGGUUAUCAUAAUGCAUGAGAAAGAUGGUGAACACUCCCAAAGUAAAGCCCUGGUUUUAGGAAAAUCCGGAUGAUAAUGAGUCUCCUUUAAUUUUCCAGUGGACCUCCAUGAUGGAACCAGAUCUGGCUAAUAGGAAUCUUGUGUUGCAACUUGAAAAGCCUGUCUGCCACAAAUGAUCUCUGCUGGAGGUGUUGACGGUGUAAACAGAACACAACAGGGACAGCACCAACUGGUGUGCAUAAGAAUAUUGAUGCAAUACAUGAUUGUCAACAUCUGUGUGCCUGAUGAGAACAUAUGCUAGUGUGUGUGAGUGUAUCAAACAUGGGCAAUAGCUAAGCAUUGGUGCUUCCAUCCAUGUAUAUGAGCUAAUGUACAAACGAUAAGACACCAAGACAAUAGGCUGUGCAGCCUGUUGUUCCAGCCCACGACAAUCCUCGUUUCUCUUUAUCUGAUACCAUCAAAAGAUCUGCAAUAUUAUGUCAGAAACGAUGAAAGAUGAUCUGUGUCAAACCUGCAACUUUUUGUUCAAUUCCUGAGUCAAAUGUUGCAACUGAUCUAGAGCUUUAGUUAUCUGACAAAUUAGGCGAGUGUAGGGAUGAAUGAUUUGCAGUGUGUGUGUGUGUGUGUGUGUGUGUGUGCUGCAUGUGUAUUGUAGUUGGUGAAGAACUUUGAUCCGUCCCUAUACCACCAGCAUAUGCUCUCAUAUGCAGAGACCUUACCCAUAUGUGUGCCCCUAAAGAUGAUACAUGUUCUAAUGUUUUGGAAAAUUUUUAUGACACCAUGUCCAACGUCAGCUGUAUAAUCUAGUCUCAUCUGCAAAGAUGUUUAUAAUGGGUUUGGUCUUUUUUUGAUGUUUUGUGUGAAGAUAUCUGAAUAUUACAGCUUAGACGUAUGGUGAUAAUUGUGAAGUACUAUCAAUACAAUGACUUCCUCUUUAUCAGUCAGUUUGGAAAUAACUGAAAUAAUAUUAUUGGCCCUGCACUGUUGUUUAGCCAAAAAAAAAAGACAAGGCUGCAAAUCUGAUGCCAUGGAGAAAUAGAAGCUGUGGAUACUUAUCAUGUCACUCCACGGCCUCAGAAACUCACACAUGCAAACACAUACGCAUAUUAUAGAUGUCUUGCCUGCUGGGAUAAACCUGUCACACCCAUAUAGUCUCGUCAGCUACAGUACAGUAGAACCCUGCAGCCCCUUCAUGUCCCCCUCCAGCUGGAUUUUGCUUUGCAAUGUGUCAUAUUCAAGGAUGGCUUUGGAUUUUUUCAUGUCUGUCUUUAAUACAGCACUUCUGUAAUGUAAUCAUUCCUCUUCUCCAUUCCAGCCAUUAGGUGGUACUUUUAUAACUUGGGUAAAAAGUAAGAAGUAGCAUUCCAUAUCCCAGCUGUAGCUCAUAUGAGUCCUAAUUGAGUAGUUAUAUUCAUACAGGCAAUUAAGUCUAUUCUGAGGAGCUGGUUGAACCAAACCAGAGCUAAAAUGACAUUUGAUAGUUGGGAUGUUCAUGUGUUUCUGGUGCUGAAUGUGUUUACAGGCAGUUGUUUGCUAACAUUUUAGCCAUAAAAUUGAUCACACAUUAAGAUGAUCAAGACUCGUUAUUGACUAGUGUGAAUUUUGCAUACGUGGAAACCAUCAAAAGGCCUUUAGACAUAAUUCUGCUCCAAUGAAGACACAAAAAAGAAUGGCAAACAAAAACAUUAGAUCUGCGUGGAGCAAUUAUACAUAAAAGAAUCAGAAACGUGGUAUUUCCGUCAUGUUUUCUCGAGGGUUUUGCCUCUUUUAGAUUGUGAUAAAUGCACCAAACUGGAGAAUUACUGCCACUAAUUGGUCAUCAUGAUGCACCCAACUCCUGAAAUUCAUGUCAGUAGUGAAGUUUUUCUAAACUGGAUUUUUAAUAUUUGUUCUACAUUUGAAGAAUAGAAAUGAUCUCAUAAUAUUGAAUCUUGACUUGAACUUUGGAAUGCAUUUUUGCAAGGAUCAGCAUCUGUGGAUCUUGCUCCCUGUCCUUUACAGAGGUAGUCACUUGACAAAGGGAUCGUUUGGAGACCAAGUGGUGAGAGGAAAGGUGAUUACAGUGAGCUAUAAUACUUUCACUACACAAAUAGAAUGCAAGUAUUGUGUUAAGAUAGACUUGAAAAUGUGUGAACCCAUCCUUUAAAGAGGAAAACCCAGUGACGAGAAAGAGCUGGAGUCAUGCAGAGCUUUGACAUUUUAUCGAGACUGUGUUCCAAAUCCAGCUUCUUCGACCACAGAGAGAAGUGACUCUGAGGCAAAAUAAGUGAUUAUGGGCUAAACUCUCCCAACAGCGUUUUAAAAUGCACUUUAAAGAAAAAUCAUUUUGCCCUACAUUCCAGCAAGUAUGGUCACUUUAAAGCACUGGCUUUGCCAUUAAUGAUAAAUAUAUGAAUAUAAAUAUCUACCACCGUGCUUUGCCUGAUACAGCGCAAACUGGCCUUCCUCAUAAAUGUAAAUAUUGUCCCCGGUUUUGAACUUUUACCACAGAUUGAGGAGAGCUCGUAAAAAUGCUGUACUUGAAGUUAUCUCGCGGCUUUUCAGUGUCAUCCCUAGGCUGUGAUUGUGCGGCAGAAAAAAGGGGAGGAGAGGCAGUGGGUAAUGCCAGUAAAGCGGCGUGACAGAAGAGGGUUAAUAACAUCGAGCUCUGCUAAGAUUGCCCAGCCUCGUGUGGCUUUAAGGGAUUGCAGGCAGUAUUAGCAGCUGAAUAAUUAUUUUUGGUAUGUUUCGCCUUGUGUGCACACUUUCAGUGUGGCACAUAUUGCUUCUUUCACCCCCCCAACACUCUUCUGUGGAGUUUGGCAGCCUGCAGUCUUGUAUAAAACUUAUAUUUUUGAGUCCUGUGUGGGCUGAGUUCAAACUUUGUUCAAACAUGAAUGUUCUUCAUAUAUUUCAUAUACAGUCCAGUGACGGAAAGAUUCAGUGGAGUUGCACAUUUAGCACUGUGACAGAAAAAAAGAGAAAUCAGCAGAAACAUCAAAGGUGGAAAAUGAUGAGGUGAUGACAAACCUUCUAUGAAGUCAAAUAGUGAUGCUUCCACUAUGUUUGUAUACAGGGUUGUCCCCGUAAUGCUAUUAAAGAGAGCUCAUAUAUGAAUAUGCAUAUAUGAUGAAUAUAAAUAUGAGGUAUCUAUUUUUGGCAUUCUUCAUCAUGUGGAUAUAAGUGGUAUGAGUAGGAAAAGCCUCUAGGUUGGAUCCAACAUGCAUCCUCGCUGUGCUCAAUGAGUCUGUGUUUGCUACUUUUUUUCAAUGAAGCUUCUCUCGUGGUUUGGUUUUCUUUUUGUACGCUGCACUGAAAAUACAUCAUUUUCACAAGUGGUUUGGAAAACAGAAGUGUCACCAGUCACUUCAUCAAGUGAAAUAAUAUAUUAUACAGUAGAAUAGCCCUUGCAUUAUUUGUUACGACCUCUAUGUAAUGUUAUUAUGGAAGAUGUAAUGUCCUUCUGUAAAUGUUGUUUAAUGUUGUUUUACCUGAAAUAAAAUUUAUUAAUGCUUCA
ensembl:lncRNA